UACAGAGGUCCCAAGCGUUGUUCGGAUUCACUGGGCGUAAAGGGUGCGUAGGUGGUCGGAUAAGUUUAAUGUGAAAUCUCCGGGCUUAACCCGGAAACUGCAUUGAAUACUAUUCGGCUGGAGGGUUGGAGGGGGGACUGGAAUUCUCGGUGUAGCAGUGAAAUGCGUAGAUAUCGAGAGGAACACCUGCGGCGAAGGCGGGUUGCUGGGCUGACACUGACGCUGAGGCGCGAAAGCUAGGGGAGCGAACGGG
rnacentral:rRNA from 1 species